UAUUUAUUCUCACUAUGGUAUUACUGUUCGCUCUCAGAUGACUUGUCUUAUUAACAUAAGCCAAAUGGGUCACUGGCUGCUUGUCUCAGGGAAUGUCUGGCAUGAGAGAUUCUGUCCAUGGAGCUAAAUCAACAGGGAAAUGCAAGGCCAGUUACCUUCCCUCUGAUGCACAGAGCUGAAGGUUUUGUUUGUACGCCCUUCAUAAAUCAGUGUCCGUGCUAAGAAUCUGGUGAUGACAGAGAAUAAUCUUUCCUUGGCAUCAUUUUGCAGUGACACGCUAUUCCUGGAGUCAGCCUGCCUGUCAGCUGAGACUUCCAAGUCCAUGAUAACCUUGAUGUGGAAGAGUGACAGGAGGGGCAGGCAGGUUGUGUCUGGUGCCUUCACACACCACAAGUGCUUGUGAAAAGGAACGCCCAAAGAAGCAGCUGAAAACAUCAAAGGAAGGAGAAGAGGAGGUACUGGUGGUGACUGGGAGGACAGAAAGUAUUUAGGACACUCCUGAGAGAAUAUGUGCUCACUGGGCACUGCAGGGUUAGCUGUUUUACGAGCAGGUGACUCUUGUAAAUACAGAUUGAGUGUGACCUUCAUGCAAGCAACUGUGAAGCAUAGAGCAGUGAGAUCAUGGUCCUUCUCAUGAGGCCAGCCUGACCCCUGAAGUGGCACAAUCCUAUGCAGGAACACUGUGAGUUUUGGGCAGCUUGGAAAACACUUCCAGUCAGUUUCUGUCAAGUUACUGAAAAGAUCUAUUUGAGAAGAAAGAAAUAUUUCUUUCUGAACAAGGUGGUCAUUAGAGUUAAUACUGAGCAGUAAAGACCUUCUUCCACUGCUUGAAAACAGCUUGAAAACUCACCUCUCUACUCCUUUUUGUUUUCUCCUGCCUCCUGGUCCAUCCUGCAUGUCUCUGUCUCCCUGUCUCUCUUGUUCCACCCCAUCAGAAUUAUUAAAAUGUUCA